rnacentral:rRNA from 1 species
UAGUCCACGCCGUAAACUAUGGAUGCUAGCUGUUAGUCGUAUCGACCCGAUUAGUAGCGAAGCUAACGCGUUAAGCAUCCCGCCUGUGGAGUACGAGCGCAAGCUUAAAACAUAAAGGAAUUGACGGGGACCCGCACAAGCGGUGGAGCGUGUUGUUUAAUUCGAUGAUAAGCGAAGAACCUUACCCAGGCUUGACAUAUUUGUUAAGCUUUGUGAAAGCAGAGUGUGCCUUCGGGCCGCAUAUACAGGUGCUGCAUGGCCGUCGUCAGCUCGUGUCGUGAGAUGUUUGGUUAAGUCCAUCAACGAGCGCAACCCUUAUAGUUAGUUGUAUUUUUCUAGCUAGACUGCCCUGGCAACAGGGAGGAAGGAGGGGAUGAUGUCAGGUCAGUAUUGCCCUUAUGCCUGGGGCUACAAACACGCUACAAUGGCCGGUACAAAGGGAAGCCAACCCGCGAGGGGGAGCAAAUCCCAUCAAAGCCGGUCUCAGUUCGGAUUGCAGGCUGAAACUCG